GGGGAUGUAGCUCAGCGGUAGAGUGCUUGCCUAGCAUGCAGGAGACCAUGGGUUCAAUCCCCAGUAUUGCAA
rnacentral:tRNA from 1 species